UACGUAGGGUGCAAGCGUUGUCCGGAAUUAUUGGGCGUAAAGAGCUCCUAGGCGGUUUGUCGCGUCUGCUGUGAAAACUCGGGGCUUAACCCCGGGCCUGCAGUGGGUACGGGCAGACUAGAGUGCGGUAGGGGAGACUGGAAUUCCUGGUGUAGCGGUGAAAUGCGCAGAUAUCAGGAGGAACACCGGUGGCGAAGGCGGGUCUCUGGGCCGUAACUGACGCUGAGGAGCGAAAGCGUGGGGAGCGAACAGG
rnacentral:rRNA from 1 species